AUUGAACGCUGGCGGCAGGCCUAACACAUGCAAGUCGAACGGUAACAGGAAACAGCUUGCUGUUUCGCUGACGAGUGGCGGACGGGUGAGUAAUGUCUGGGAAACUGCCUGAUGGAGGGGGAUAACUACUGGAAACGGUAGCUAAUACCGCAUAACGUCGCAAGACCAAAGAGGGGGACCUUCGGGCCUCUUGCCAUCGGAUGUGCCCAGAUGGGAUUAGCUAGUAGGUGGGGUAACGGCUCACCUAGGCGACGAUCCCUAGCUGGUCUGAGAGGAUGACCAGCCACACUGGAACUGAGACACGGUCCAGACUCCUACGGGAGGCAGCAGUGGGGAAUAUUGCACAAUGGGCGCAAGCCUGAUGCAGCCAUGUCGCGUGUAUGAAGAAGGCCUUCGGGUUGUAAAGUACUUUCAGCGGGGAGGAAGGGAGUAAAGUUAAUACCUUUGCUCAUUGACGUUACCCGCAGAAGAAGCACCGGCUAACUCCGUGCCAGCAGCCGCAGUAA
rnacentral:rRNA from 1 species